rnacentral:rRNA from 1 species
GAGAGUUUGAUCCUGGCUCAUAGUGAACGCUGGCGGUAGGCCUAACACAUGCAAGUCGAACGGCAGCACAGAGGAGCUUGCUCCUUGGGUGGCGAGUGGCGGACGGGUGAGGAGUACAUCGGAAUCUACUCUGUCGUGGGGGAUAACGUAGGGAAACUUACGCUAAUACCGCAUACGACCUACGGGUGAAAGCAGGGGAUCUUCGGACCUUGCGCGAUUGAAUGAGCCGAUGUCGGAUUAGCUAGUUGGCGGGGUAAAGGCCCACCAAGGCGACGAUCCGUAGCUGGUCUGAGAGGAUGAUCAGCCACACUGGAACUGAGACACGGUCCAGACUCCUACGGGAGGCAGCAGUGGGGAAUAUUGGACAAUGGGCGCAAGCCUGAUCCAGCCAUACCGCGUGGGUGAAGAAGGCCUUCGGGUUGUAAAGCCCUUUUGUUGGG